UCUGGAUUAGCAAAAAUUAAUGCGUUUGGCUUAGGUUCAAAAGAUGAAUUCUAUAUUCAUCCAGAA
rnacentral:tRNA from 1 species